UAUGAAUGGCCACACGAGGGCUUUACUGUCUCUUACUUCCAAUCCGUGUAAUUGACCUUCCCGUGAAGUGGCGGGAAUAUAACAACAAGACGAGAAGACCCUUUGGAGCUUUAAUUAACCGACCCAAAGAGACCCCACUAACCAACCGACUGGAACAACAAAUCUCUACAUGGGCCGACAAUUUAGGUUGGGGUGACCUCGGAGAAUAAAAUAACCUCCGAAUGAUUUAAAUCUAGACUAACCAGUCAAAAGUAUUACAUCACUUAUUGAUCCAAAACUUGAUCAACGGAACAAGUUACCCUAGGGAUAACAGCGCAAUCCUAUUUCAGAGUCCAUAUCGACAAUAGGGUUUACGACCUCGAUG
rnacentral:rRNA from 1 species